rnacentral:misc_RNA from 2 species
AACGCACAUUGCACUCUAUUUCGGUAGAGUAUGCCUGUUUGAGAAUCUAUAGUAUUUAUUUUGCCUUUAUGCUUUUUACAAAGCGUAAAGACCAAAGAUGUGCAAAUUGAUCCUGUAUCUUUUGCGAAAACUAUAGCUGAACUGAGCUAAGAGUGUUUGACUCUUUGCAAAGCAUCAGAAACGUAUUUGAAUGAGAUUUAUCUCUUAUAAUGCUGAUUAUGAUGCAGUAAAGAUUAGCUUAAAGUUACUUUGCAGUUUAUAACCAUUAAAGCCGUAAAAAAGCUUGAACCAUGGUCUCAAAUCAGGUAGGAAUACCCGCUGAACUUAA